rnacentral:rRNA from 1 species
UAGGGAAUCUUCGGCAAUGGGGGGAACCCUGACCGAGCAACGCCGCGUGAGUGAAGAAGGUUUUCGGAUCGUAAAGCUCUGUUGUUAAGGAAGAACGAGUGUGAGAAUGGAAAGUUCAUACUGUGACGGUACUUAACCAGAAAGGGACGGCUAACUACGUGCCAGCAGCCGCGGUAAUACGUAGGUCCCGAGCGUUGUCCGGAUUUAUUGGGCGUAAAGCGAGCGCAGGCGGUUAGAUAAGUCUGAAGUGAAAGGCAGUGGCUCAACCAUUGUAGGCUUUGGAAACUGUUUAACUUGAGUGCAGAAGGGGAGAGUGGAAUUCCAUGUGUAGCGGUGAAAUGCGUAGAUAUAUGGAGGACCACCGGUGGCGAAAGCGGCUCUCUGGUCUGUAACUGACGCUGAGGCUCGAAAGCGUGGGGAGCGAACAGG